ACGUAGGUGGCAAGCGUUGUCCGGAAUUACUGGGUGUAAAGGGAGCGCAGGCGGGAGAGCAAGUCAGCUGUGAAAACUAUGGGCUUAACCCAUAAACUGCAGUUGAAACUGUUUUUCUUGAGUGGAGUAGAGGGAGGCGGAAUUCCGGGUGUAGCGGUGAAAUGCGUAGAUAUCCGGAGGAACACCAGUGGCGAAGGCGGCCUCCUGGGCUGUAUCUGACGCUGAGGCUCGAAAGUGUGGGGAGCAAACAG
rnacentral:rRNA from 1 species